GAGUUUGAUCGUGGCUCAGAUUGAACGCUGGCGGCAGGCCUAACACAUGCAAGUCGAGCGGAUGACGGGAGCUUGCUCCUUGAUUCAGCGGCGGACGGGUGAGUAAUGCCUAGGAAUCUGCCUGGUAGUGGGGGACAACGUUUCGAAAGGAACGCUAAUACCGCAUACGUCCUACGGGAGAAAGCAGGGGACCUUCGGCCUUGCGCUAUCAGAUGAGCCUAGGUCGGAUUAGCUAGUUGGUGGGGUAAUGGCUCACCAAGGCGACGAUCCGUAACUGGUCUGAGAGGAUGAUCAGUCACACUGGAACUGAGACACGGUCCAGACUCCUACGGGAGGCAGCAGU
rnacentral:rRNA from 1 species